rnacentral:lncRNA from 1 species
AUGGAAAGAGCUAGCACAAUCACAUAUUUGAAAGGAGAAACAAUAGGUACUGAACCGGAGGGAAAGGGCGAAGGCUGAGUGUACCAGCACCAGCCUGGAGAAUCCACAAUUCCACUUCCUAUCCAAGGUAAGUUUCCGAAAAUAGUAUAUAAACAAGUUGCACAUUAUACCUUUAGCCAUCAUCUGCCCUUUCAAAUAUCUGGUCUACAUGAAAAGAGAAAGAGGAAAGGCCAAAACGAAAACAAAAGGAAACAAAAACAAAACGCAACCCUCUCAAAAACAAAAGAAAAAAAAACCCAAAAUCUUUUUUACUACACAGAGCAUAAGGUCAAAAACUUACAGUACCAGUGUCCCCUUCAAGCCAUGGAAGAAAAACAUCCACAUAAAGCCUUAGCAAGAAUUUCCACUCUGAGGCUUUGUAACAUGCUGAAGACAGGGCCCUGGGGGUGCUGCUGCCAUUUUGGAGGCCACCAACUGGGGUGGAGAAUCAGUGAACAGCACGUCUCAUGCACUUGGAAGAUCACCAGCCAAAUAUGCACUGGUGGCCUGGUGGAGCAUGGCUAGGUGACUGCCUACCCCCAACACUGAACCACUCCUAUCCUGGAUGACCUACUUCUUAGGUCUGUCUCACAUUUCACAAAAGAGCUGGAAGUCUGCAUUUCUCAUUCAUCACAAAACAGGACAAAGCACACACACUCUAGUAUCUUUGGUCAUCAAAGGCCAUUUCCAACAGACC